rnacentral:rRNA from 1 species
AUUGAACGCUGGCGGCAUGCUUUACACAUGCAAGUCGAACGGUAACAGGCCUUCGGGUGCUGACGAGUGGCGAACGGGUGAGUAAUGCAUCGGAACGUACCCAGAGGUGGGGGAUAACGCAGCGAAAGCUGUGCUAAUACCGCAUGUGAUCUGAGGAUGAAAGCGGGGGAGCGAGCAGCAAUGUUUGGCCUCGCGCCUUUGGAGCGGCCGAUGUCGGAUUAGCUAGUGGGUGGGGUAAAGGCCUACCAAGGCGACUAUCCAUAGCUGGUCUGAGAGGACGACCAGCCACACUGGGACUGAGACACGGCCCAGACUCCUACGGGAGGCAGCAAUGGGGAAUUUUGGACAAUGGGCGCAAGCCUGAUCCAGCAAUGCCGCGUGCGGGAAGAAGGCCUUCGGGUUGUAAACCGCUUUUUGCAGGAACGAAACGGUGUCCGCUAAUACCGGGCGCUAAUGACGGUACCUGCAGAAUAAGCACCGGCUAACUACGUG